UACGAAGGGGGCUAGCGUUGCUCGGAAUUACUGGGCGUAAAGCGCACGUUAGGCGGGUCGUUAAGUCAGGGGUGAAAUCCCAGAGCUCAACUCUGGAACUGCCUUUGAUACUGGCGACCUAGAGUCCGGAAGAGGUUAGUGGAAUUCCCAGUGUAGAGGUGAAAUUCGUAGAUAUUGGGAAGAACACCGGUGGCGAAGGCGGCCAUCUGGACCGCAACUGACGCUGAGGCGGCGAAAGCGUGGG
rnacentral:rRNA from 1 species